AUUCUAGUAGUUUUAACUAAAACAUUGGUCUUGUAAGCCAAAAAUGAAGAUUGUACUCUCCCUAGAAUA
rnacentral:tRNA from 1 species